UAUAAGUGCAACCAUAAGUUUCCGCGCCCAAUUUUGAUCGUUCGUCUUAUUUAAAAUUUUUUUAUAAUUAGUAUUUUUAUUGUUAUGAGAUGAUAAAACAUGAAUAGUACUUUACUCGUGACUUAUGUUUUUAAAUUUUUUUCAAAAAUUUUUUAAAUAAGACGGACGGUCAAAGUUGGACGCGAAAAACUAUAGCUGCACUUAUA
rfam:Oryza sativa Japonica Group DNA, chromosome 4, cultivar: Nipponbare, complete sequence.